UGGUUAUAUCUUUUGUCCCAGAUUUCUGUGUGCUACAUCAACUCUCGUCCACACUCCACCAACCUGAGCCAUCAGGGCGUGCUGUUCAGCGGCCUGCUGCUUUACCUCUGUGACUCCUUCGUCGUUUCUGGACUCCUCAAGAAAUUCCGCUUCCUCAAAGGCGCCACUCUCUGCGUGAUCUGCCAAGACCGGAGCUCCCUGCGUCAGACCAUCGUCCGACUGGAGCUGGAGGAUGAGUGGCAGUUCCGCCUGCGGGACGAGUUUCAGACCGCCAACUGCAGUGAGGACCGGCCCCUCUACUUUCUGACUGGCCGCCAUGUUUGAACCUGACACAUGGAUCCACUGCUCGGCUGUAGAAACAUUAUAAAAAAGGAGGAAAUACUUUAUCCCAAACGAGCCAGCGAUCGUAAUUCUUGCCUUUCCAAUGGAAGGGCAGAGGGGAAAAGCUGGAGCCCAAGAUCCAAAGUGCCCCACAGGUGGACACAUGUGCACUAUGCCUGGCUCUGAACAGGGUCGGUGCUUGUUUUAACUUUUGCUUGGCGCUGGGUUGGUCUCCACUCGAGCUUGUGUUCUACAAAAGAAAAGACUGAUGUGGAAAAAGCCCAGCUGAAACUGAACUUUAUUUGUUUUGAGGUUUGCAUAAAUGGACGAUCCCAGAUCAAUGAUGUGACUAUUUGAAGAAUGUAUCUGUACAUAAAUAUAUGUACUUUGCCAGCUGUAUGUCCUUUUCUGGGUAUACUGUUUAUCUCAGGGUUUUAAAGGGAGAUCAAAGGGAGGUCGCUGAAGCUGUUCUCACCGUGUAUUGUUGGCAUUAACUUAUGUUGGCACUAAAGACAUCUCAGCUUUACCUUGCCUUUUCCCUUCGCUUUUCUUGUCCCUCCUCGCCUGCCCUGCCUCUCAAACAAAGCUCAUUGACAAGUCAACACACUACAUUAAAUAAAUAUCAACACAGAGAAUGGCCUGUAGCCUAUUUGAAUCAUAACACAAAUGAAAAUGGGGACUCCUUUUUUCUUGUGCCUCAAAAAAUAUUUAUGUGGCACUGAUAAUCCUUCUGACGGGGAGCUAUAUGAGUGUGGUUUAGUCUGUAAAUGACUGACACAUUCAUUUAUCCAAAGACUUUGACUACAACUAGAGAAAAGUACAAGUUGUGUCCUUUUAAGAAAUAGUUGUGUGUUGGCUUAACUACACAGCUUUGAAGCAGGUGUGUUGUCUAGAACAGACUUAUCUGUGUUGUUUUGCUUUUACAACGUAUCUGUUAAUAUUUUAUGCCAAUCAGGCUGAGCAUCAUGGAAGUGGGAUUAGUUUACUGGUAUGUUUUACAUUACAUAUGUUUUGGUUAGGCAUCUACUGACUUGAAUACUGGGUAUUUUAGCAUAAUCACAUAAAGUCAGUAAAUGCCAUAUAAUAAACCAGCCUCUUCACUGCCAAAUAUCCUGCUACUGACUGUGCCUGGGAUUUCACUUCCUGUUACAAUGUUCUGAGGUUUAUUGUAAGUAGAUGGUAAUGGCUACCAUCCACACUCACAAUCUGCCAACCUUUUGUCCCCAUAACAGAGGAAAAUCAAGGAAAGGGUUUCAAACUGUCGAAAGCAGCUGACCAGAUCAUUUCAUAUACUUGAAAGAAGAAUGUUUUUGUAUGUUUAUGUGCAGGGUUGUCCAAAGAAUGUGCCUUAGGUGACGUUUCAUACAGUCACAGCUUAAGUCAUUAUUUUUUUGGACCAAUAAGAAUGAAGAAACCAUUUAACUGUGAGGCGAAGAAGUGUAGUUUGUCUGAUUGAAGCAAAAUGAAAUAAUUGCAUUUCGUACUGUACUGUUUAAAGCUUUGUUUACAUUAUUAAUAUAUUAUAUCAUUCCCCAAACCACUGAGGGUUACUGAUGUUUUUUUAGUCUUGUGUAACUUCUGCCAGUCUGUUUCAGUCAUGACGUCUUUCUGCAUUUUAUUUGAUGUUGCAAUGGCAAAAAGAAUCUACCUAGAUGUGUCCUUAACCAUAUGUCUGUAUCCCGUCCUGUUCUUGUGUUGGAUUUUUAUUGAAAAUGAAAAUCAGGUCCAUGAGGGAUUCUUAUUUAUUUGACAAGCGUUUUGGACUGAUAAUCAUAUUGAAGUGUAAUAUUUGAUUGCAUGCUUAGCUCGCUUAAAAUUAGGGAGUUUGUCCUCUUCAAAACCAUCCGUGAAGGCUUUGCACAAGAGCCAAAGAAUGAUUCUUAGAUCUAUUGAAUGUCAAUGGGGGAAGGAAAUGUAAACUUGCACUAGUUGCCAGCAGAAAAAAUAUAUUUCCCACUGUUAAUUGCACGCCCCCAAAUUAGUCCAAAUAUAAGACUGGUGAUCAACAUUUUAAGUUAAACUCCAAUGGUCCGUAGAAUGUGUCUUUCUUUUGAAUAAUUUAACACUUAAUAUGCAACUUGCUCACACAAUCUUCACUGAAAUGUGUUUGAAAACCAUGUGCAGCCCAGUGUUAGCCUUGGUGUCCGGGUGAUCUACCUCAUGUUUAUCAUUGUGGUUGGGGGCUGUGAACAUAUGACAUUUAAGGCUAUUGUUGUUGAAAAUGUAUGAAUGUAAUAAAAUGGCUUCUAAAAUCA